rnacentral:rRNA from 1 species
GCCUACGGGGGGCAGCAGUGAGGAAUAUUGGUCAAUGGCCGAGAGGCUGAACCAGCCAAGUCGCGUGAGGGAUGACGGCCCUACGGGUUGUAAACCUCUUUUGCCGGGGAGCAAAGAGCGGGACGCGUCCCGCCUCGAGAGUACCCGGAGAAAAAGCAUCGGCUAACUCCGUGCCAGCAGCCGCGGUAAUACGGAGGAUGCGAGCGUUAUCCGGAUUUAUUGGGUUUAAAGGGUGCGCAGGCGGAAGCGCAAGUCAGCGGUAAAAUCGCGGGGCUCAACCUCGCUCCGCCGUUGAGACUGGCGUU